GGUUGACACUUCUUUAUUUUGUGAUGGAAUUAUGUUGAAACUUGAAUGUAUAAUAUUGUAUUAAUUUUUUUAUUAAUGUAAUAACAAAAAGGAAAUGAAACUACUUACUUAAAAAAUGCCCCUCCUAAAUUGUUCAACCAGAACGGAGGAAGACAUACACACAGCAUGGAACUAUAACCAUGGGAAAGAGAAAGAAAAAACGAGGAAGUCUCCCAAAAAAAUACAUAAAAAUUUGAAGAGGAAAAAAAAGGGAGAAGGAAAGGAAGUCUAUAAGAAGAUGCAUGAAAGGAAAGAAGAGAGUGGAAAAUUUGCAGAAUCAAAGACUUAACUGAAGAAAGAAUAAUUAAGAAAGUGCAACAUUAUCUCUUCAGAUAUGUUCUUAAUUGUAACAACUGAGGGA
rnacentral:lncRNA from 1 species